rnacentral:rRNA from 1 species
GAUGAACGCUGGCGGCGUGCCUAAUACAUGCAAGUCGAGCGAACGGACGAGAAGCUUGCUUCUCUGAUGUUAGCGGCGGACGGGUGAGUAACACGUGGAUAACCUACCUAUAAGACUGGGAUAACUUCGGGAAACCGGAGCUAAUACCGGAUGAUAUUUUGAACCGCAUGGUUCAAAAGUGAAAGACGGUCUUGCUGUCACUUAUAGAUGGAUCCGCGCUGCAUUAGCUAGUUGGUAAGGUAACGGCUUACCAAGGCAACGAUGAAUAGCCGACCUGAGAGGGUGAUCGGCCAAACUGGAACUGAGACACGGUCCAGACUCCUACGGGAGGCAGCAGUAGGGAAUCUUCCGAAAUGGGCGAAAGCCUGACGGAGCAACGCCGCGUGAGUGAUGAAGGUCUUCGGAUCGUAAAACUCUGUUAUUAGGGAAGAACAUAUGUGUAAGUAACUGUGCACAUCUUGACGGUACCUAAGCAGAAAGCCACGGCUAACUACGU